UACGUAGGAGGCAAGCGUUAUCCGGAAUGACUGGGCGUAAAGGGUGCGUAGGUGGUUCAGCAAGUUAGUAGCGUAACUCCGGGGCUCAACCUCGGCACUACUACUAAAACUGUUGGACUUGAGUGCAGGAGGGGCAACUGGAAUUCCUAGUGUAGCGGUGGAAUGCGUAGAUAUUAGGAGGAACACCAGUGGCGAAGGCGACUUUCUGGACAGUAACUGACGUUGAGGCACGAAAGUGUGGGUAUCAAACAGG
rnacentral:rRNA from 1 species